rnacentral:rRNA from 1 species
UACAGAGGGUGCGAGCGUUAAUCGGAAUUACUGGGCGUAAAGCGCACGUAGUCGGCUUUGCAAGUCGGGUGUGAAAUCCCCGGGCUCAACCUGGGAACUGCAUCCGAGACUGCAUUGCUAGAGUAUGGGAGAGGGAAGCGGAAUUUCUGGUGUAGCAGUGAAAUGCGUAGAUAUCUGGAGGAACACCGGUGGCGAAGGCGGCAUCCUGGACCGGCAUUGACGCUGAGGAGCGAAAGCCAGGGGAGCAAACGGG